rnacentral:rRNA from 1 species
CAGCCGCCGCGAGAAUACAGAGGGUGCGAGCGUUAAUCGGAUUUACUGGGCGUAAAGCGUGCGUAGGCGGCUUCUUAAGUCGGAUGUGAAAUCCCUGAGCUUAACUUAGGAAUUGCAUUCGAUACUGGGAAGCUAGAGUAUGGGAGAGGAUGGUAGAAUUCCAGGUGUAGCGGUGAAAUGCGUAGAGAUCUGGAGGAAUACCGAUGGCGAAGGCAGCCAUCUGGCCUAAUACUGACGCUGAGGUACGAAAGCAUGGGGAGCAAACAGGAUUAGAUACCCCCGUAGUCCCUGUCUCUUAUAC